rnacentral:rRNA from 1 species
AGUGAACGCUGGCGGUAGGCCUAACACAUGCAAGUCGAACGGCAGCACAGUAAGAGCUUGCUCUUACGGGUGGCGAGUGGCGGACGGGUGAGGAAUACAUCGGAAUCUACUUUUUCGUGGGGGAUAACGUAGGGAAACUUACGCUAAUACCGCAUACGACCUACGGGUGAAAGCAGGGGAUCUUCGGACCUUGCGCGAUUGAAUGAGCCGAUGUCGGAUUAGCUAGUUGGCGGGGUAAAGGCCCACCAAGGCGACGAUCCGUAGCUGGUCUGAGAGGAUGAUCAGCCACACUGGAACUGAGACACGGUACAGACUCCUACGGGAGGCAGCGGUGGGGAAUAUUGGACAAUGGGCGCAAGCCUGAUCCAGCCAUACCGCGUGGGUGAAGAAGGCCUUCGGGUUGUAAAGCCCUUUUGUUGGGAAAGAAAAGCAGCAGGUUAAUACCCCGCUGUUCUGACGGUACCCAAAGAAUAAGCACCGGCUAACUUCGUG